AUUGAACGCUGGCGGCAUGCCUUACACAUGCAAGUCGAACGGUAACGGGCCUUCGGGUGCCGACGAGUGGCGAACGGGUGAGUAAUGCAUCGGAACGUACCUUUCAGUGGGGGAUAACGUAGCGAAAGUUACGCUAAUACCGCAUAUUCUGUGAGCAGGAAAGCAGGGGAUCGCAAGACCUUGCGCUGAUUGAGCGGCCGAUGUCAGAUUAGCUAGUUGGUGAGGUAAAGGCUCACCAAGGCGACGAUCUGUAGCGGGUCUGAGAGGAUGAUACGCCACACUGGAACUGAGACACUGGCCAAGCUCCUACGGGAGGCAGCCGUGGGGAAUUUUGGACAAUGGGGGCAACCCUGAUCCAGCCAUGCCGCGUGAGUGAAGAAGGCCUUCGGGUUGUAAAGCUCUUUCGGUCGGGAAGAAAUCGCAUGGGUUAAUACCCUGUGCGGAUGACGGUACCGGCAUAAGAAGCACCGGCUAACUACGUGCCAGCCGCCGCAGUAA
rnacentral:rRNA from 1 species